rnacentral:rRNA from 1 species
GUGGAUUAGAUACCCUGGUAGUCCAUGCCGUAAACGUUGGGCACUAGGUGUGGGGGACAUUCCACGUUUUCCGCGCCGUAGCUAACGCAUUAAGUGCCCCGCCUGGGGAGUACGGCCGCAAGGCUAAAACUCAAAGGAAUUGACGGGGGCCCGCACAAGCGGCGGAGCAUGCGGAUUAAUUCGAUGCAACGCGAAGAACCUUACCAAGGCUUGACAUGGGCCGGACCGGGCUGGAAACAGUCCUUCCCCUUUGGGGCCGGUUCACAGGUGGUGCACGGUUGUCGUCAGC